UACAUAUUUCAAAUGAAAUACUGUGCGUUUUGUUGUAAUACGUGACAAAGCGUCACACUGAGGGGAGGACAUAAACACUUGUAGCUGCCCUCUACUCAUCUGGAGAGGAAGGAACAGCAGCUGUGGUUUUUUUGCAUUUGUCUUUGAAAUACCCGUAAAUGAAGAUGAUGCCCGGGCACCUAAGCUACUGCUGAGCUGCGUCUGUCAGAUGUGAGGGCCAUUAAAGUUGUACUCAACGGCCGGCUGAGAGAGGAUGAAGCGUCUCCUGAACAGUCUGCUGCUCGUAUUCGCUCUCUGCACCGUGACAUCUUGGAGUGCUGCAUCAGACAAACUAGUUGUGACUCAGAGUCCAGAUGUUUCUGUCAUGGAGGGGGAGAUGGUGAAGAUCAUCUGCUGCUGGAAAGGGAACAUUGGAAGAGUUAGAGUGAACUGGUUGAAAAGUCAAACACAAAACAAGGAAGAUCUCAACAUGAAGAAUCAGUCUUAAGUGUUUCAGAACAAGGAGGGAAACAACUGUUCAACUCUGACCUUUUCCAAAUAUCUCAAGAGAAAAUGCAGGUACAUACGUCUGCAAGGUUUCUGUAGAGAUACCAGUUUUAUCUGUAGCUCUUGGAAACGGUACAGUCAUCACAGUUACAUCCAACAAUGAAACAUCUGGAGAAACCUCUGACGGCACAACCGGAGGUAAAACUGGAGAUUCUCACCAGGAAGAAGAAGAAGUGCUCAUUCAUGUCCUGAGGUGUCUGCCCAUCCUCACCCUCAUCAUCACCUUCUUCUGCCUCUACUACGAAAGGACUAAAGCUCAGAGGAAAGCAACAGCUUCUCCAGGAAAUGGACCAACUCUGGCCCCAAGAACAGAGGAAGACCAAGAGGAAGAAAAAGAGAGAGAAGAGAGAGUGAUAGAAGCGGCAGAAGAGUCAGAAACAUUGGAAAGAAGUGAAACGAACACAACUGAUGUUCUGUGAAUUCUUGUGUAAACACUUCUGACGAACAUAUGAAUAAAAAUAAGGCCUGUA